GCCGUCUUCAAGAUGAGACUUCCAUGCCCCUUGAGGGUGAGAGGCUCCCAGUAGACGACUGGGUUGAUAGGCCGGAUGUGGAAGCAGGGACGAGAGACCUGUGCAGCUGACCGGUACUAAUAAGCCGACGACUUGACAACAC
rnacentral:rRNA from 1 species